UGGGGAAUUUUGGACAAUGGGCGAAAGCCUGAUCCAGCAAUGCCGCGUGUGUGAAGAAGGCCUUCGGGUUGUAAAGCACUUUUGUCCGGAAAGAAAUCCUUGGCUCUAAUACAGUCGGGGGAUGACGGUACCGGAAGAAUAAGCACCGGCUAACUACGUGCCAGCAGCCGCGGUAAUACGUAGGGUGCAAGCGUUAAUCGGAAUUACUGGGCGUAAAGCGUGCGCAGGCGGUUUGCUAAGACCGAUGUGAAAUCCCCGGGCUCAACCUGGGAACUGCAUUGGUGACUGGCAGGCUAGAGUAUGGCAGAGGGGGGUAGAAUUCCACGUGUAGCAGUGAAAUGCGUAGAGAUGUGGAGGAAUACCGAUGGCGAAGGCAGCCCCUGGGCCAAUACUGACGCUCAUGCACGAAAGCGUGGGGAGCAAACAGGAUUAGAUACCCUGGUAGUCCACGCCCUAAACGAUGUCAACUAGUUGUUGGGGAUUCAUUUCCUUAGUAACGUAGCUAACGCGUGAAGUUGACCGCCUGGGGAGUACGGUCGCAAGAUUAAAACUCAAAGGAAUUGAC
rnacentral:rRNA from 1 species